rnacentral:rRNA from 1 species
UGGGGAAUAUUGGACAAUGGGCGAAAGCCUGAUCCAGCCAUGCCGCGUGAGUGAUGAAGGUCUUCGGAUCGUAAAGCUCUGUGGGAAGGGACGAAAAAGCGUGACCUAAUACGUCUCGCCUUGACGGUACCUUCUUAGCAAGCACCGGCUAACUCCGUGCCAGCAGCCGCGGUAAUACGGAGGGUGCAAACGUUGCUCGGAAUUAUUGGGCGUAAAGCGCACGUAGGCGGUCCGCUAAGUCGGAUGUGAAAGCCCUCGGCUUAACCGAGGAAGUGCAUCCGAAACUGGCGGGCUAGAGUACGGAAGAGGGUUUCGGAAUUCCCGGUGUAGAGGUGAAAUUCGUAGAUAUCGGGAGGAACACCAGUGGCGAAGGCGGAAACCUGGGCCGAUACUGACGCUGAGGUGCGAAAGCGUGGGGAGCAAACAGG